UAUGGAUAUAUUAGAUGUUAGAUACUAAUGUGUAAAUGAUGCUAUGUAUUCUUAUUCUUACCAAUACUCUUGCCCCACCCACAAGUUGUUGUGACUGGGGACAUUCUUGAUUUAUUCAUUUAUAGUGCUAAUUGAUGUAAUAUUUUGUAAUAGGCAAUACUUACGUAGUUUUGAAAAAUAUGAAAAAAUUGGCUUUAAAAGUGGGAUGAUUUUUUCAAGGUGGGCAAAGCUCAUUAAAAUUCGUUAAAAUACCAACUUACGUUAUUAAUUGAUUAAUAAGCUCAAUGCGAUCUCAAAGUACAUACUUACUAAGUACAAUAUAAUUAUAGCUGUUUUGGAAGAUUUAACCAAUAAGUUUAUUCGUUUGUUUAAUUUUGAGUUCGAAGUUUGUUUGAAAAUCCAAGGAAAGAAUUAUUUCUACUUCAUAUUUAGGAAAAUUAAGUGCAAUGAGGUUAUCAGUGACUCAACUUUUCAUGCUGGUUGUUCUGAUUGGAAUAUGUACUGGUCGUCGGAGUAGUCAUCAGGUUCGUCGAGGUUCUACUGGCCAUGUUCCACCUUGUAAAAACUAUGACAGGACGUUCUCAAGUUAUGAGGAGUGUGAUAAGGGGUGCGCAGAUCACUGCGAAAUGUUCCCCUGUAAUGGAUGGUGUCAGAAUAACGGCGUAUGCUUUUGUAUUUCAAGAUAUUAAUCCUUAUUUUACGUUGUUUAUAUUUUGUUGGCGGAAUAUUUAAAAAAUAUACUUAAUUACCGUGUUUUCA